rnacentral:rRNA from 1 species
AACGAACGCUGGCGGCGUGCUUAACACAUGCAAGGCGCACGAGAAACCCUGGGCAACCGGGCGAGCAAAGUGGCGCACGGGUGAGUAACGCGUGGGUAACCUACCCCUGCGUUGGGGAUAACCCCGCGAAAGCGGGGCUAAUACCGAAUAAUAAUUCAGUCUCUAUGGAAAUUGAAUUUAAAGAUAGCCUUUACGGGUAAGCUAUUGCUCUAGGAUGGGCCCGGGUAACAGUAGCUAGUUGGUAGGGUAACAGCCUACCAAGGCAACGAUGGUUAGCUGGUCUGAGAGGAUGGCCAGCCACACUGGAACUGAGUCACGGUCCAGACUCCUACGGGAGGCAGCAGUGGGGAAUCUUGCGCAAUGGGGGAAACCCUGACGCAGCAACGCCGCGUGGGUGAUGAAGGCCUUCGGGUCGUAAAGCCCUGUCAGGUGGGAAGAAACAUGCCGAUGCAAAUAGCAUCGGCAUUUGACGGUACUACCGGAGGAAGCACCGGCUAACUCCGUGCCAGCAGCCGCCGUAAUAC